AACAUAUCAAAACAAAGUUUUACCCCUCUCAGAAGUAAAUAACGCAUAGCUUCAAACACUUCUUUGUAGCUUCAAUCACAGAUGAAGAAAGUAUUUGAAGAAUACAUCUCAAAAUGCAUAUAGCUUCAAUCACAUCAAAGUAGGCUAAAACACUCUCAGUCUUGUGGAGGUCGCUGAACAUCAAGAAGAGGGCUAUUGGAGAUUGUUGGGGAAAGGAGGGAAAAUGAGAUUUGCUAUAGAGAAUGCGAAAAAGACGAGCAUUGUGAUUGCAGAUACAAAGAUACAUAUAUUGAGAUCAUUUUCGAGUAUUAAGUUCGCUAGGGGUUCACUUUGUAGCAUUAUAUUGGGCUCUCCUACUGGAUGCUACCCGGUGAGCGGCGAUAUUCGAGAAUGUACACUCACUUUGAUAAAGGAAGAGAGCGAGGAAAGUACAUACAUUAUUGCAUGAUUCACUUUAUUUUUUCUUUUCUACUUAUGAUUUAUUUUGUAGUGGUGCAAUGGAUUUGAUAUCACUAUAGUUAUUUUUUAUUGAUUCACGAGUUUAGCCUUAAAGCUUUUACUUUCCUCUCGUAUCUUCUUCUUAGAUUUGGUUACAAUUUUUUCUAAUUUUUGUACUUUCUUCCAUUCGCCUUUUGUUCUAAAUGUGUUGAACUCCUACGCAUAGGGUAGUUCUCUCAAAAUUGGUUACCUUCUGUGGUUCUCUUAUGUUAGAUAAAACUUGCUGUUAUAACUAUCAUUGGGGAUGCAUUUAGUACACAAUCAUGAAAGAGCUUAAUUUAAACUUCUUCCAGAGAAGCCGUUUCUUCAAAUUUCAAGGUGGAAGGGCAUAAAAGACUGUUUUGGUCCAUAUAUCUCUACGACUUCAAUGAAUAAUUUUAACUUGCCUUAGUUGGUACUAUGCUAUUGAGAAACCUGCAAAGACUUCACCAAUGAAUGUCUUCCUGAAAUCAAGUGUAUUGUCAGCGAAAUAUUUGGUUUCUUUGAAGAGUGGAAACAUUUGCUAAUCAGCAUAACUCAAGGUCUAAUAUUUUUAUAGUUCAGUUUUCUUUAUUGCUGCGACGGUGCUUGCCUUAGCCGAGGAUCUUUUGGAAACAGUCUCUCUACUUGCAUAAGGUAGAGUUGAAUAUGUUGGUGAAGCAAACAAGCAAUGGAAAGAUGAAAGCAGUGAAAACUUUAUUGAAGAGUAUUGGUUUGGGAUUGAGGCGUAGUUAUUAUUGUUGUUGCUUGUUGGUCUAUAAAGACCUAUGUUCUAGGGAGUUUUUUUAAUUUCAAUUUUUUUUAACUUAUGUAUGCUAACUUUUGAAUUGUUAAACAUUAUUUGUCUAUUUUACACAUGGAGAAUAUUCUUUGAUUUUUAGAUUA